UGGGGAAUAUUGGACAAUGGGCGAAAGCCUGAUCCAGCCAUGCCGCGUGUGUGAAGAAGGUCUUCGGAUUGUAAAGCACUUUAAGUUGGGAGGAAGGGCAGUAAGCGAAUACCUUGCUGUUUUGACGUUACCGACAGAAUAAGCACCGGCUAACUCUAUGCCAGCAGCCGCGGUAAUACAGAGGGUGCAAGCGUUAAUCGGAAUUACUGGGCGUAAAGCGCGCGUAGGUGGUUCGUUAAGUUGAAUGUGAAAGCCCCGGGCUCAACCUGGGAACUGCAUCCAAAACUGGCGAGCUAGAGUAGGGCAGAGGGUGGUGGAAUUUCCUGUGUAGCGGUGAAAUGCGUAGAUAUAGGAAGGAACACCAGUGGCGAAGGCGACCACCUGGGCUCAUACUGACACUGAGGUGCGAAAGCGUGGGGAGCAAACAGG
rnacentral:rRNA from 1 species